UACAGAGGUCCCAAGCGUUGUUCGGAUUCACUGGGCGUAAAGCGCACGUAGGCGGCUUUGUAAGUUAGAGGUGAAAGCCCGGAGCUCAACUCCGGAACUGCCUUUAAGACUGCAUCGCUUGAACGUUGGAGAGGUAAGUGGAAUUCCGAGUGUAGAGGUGAAAUUCGUAGAUAUUCGGAAGAACACCAGUGGCGAAGGCGACUUACUGGACAACUGUUGACGCUGAGGUGCGAAAGCGUGGGGGAGCAAACAGG
rnacentral:rRNA from 1 species